UUUCUUUUUUCUUUUUGUCUUCUUAUUUCAAUAGAGAAAAGGGAUUGACACGUUCUCGCUGUGGCUGACGAAGAAGGCUUUAUCAGCAUCUUCAACACUCAUCUCGAUUUACUAACCCUUGUGACCGGAGAUUGCAAUAUGGUUACGUAAUUUUUCGUUACACAGUAGCUUUCAUGUCAUUGUCUACUUGCAUCGACUUGAACCUUAACAACACAGACACGACCCUGCAGAACGAUACAAGUUUGUCAUGCGAGUUGGUUUGAAUCGGGAUAGAUUGCGUUUUGUGCCCUUACAGAAAUGAGUGGGUGGAAAACAUGGAUGGCACACACGAAUGCCAAUUUUGAUGCCGCUUAGAUACAGGAUGAUACGCGCAUGCUCACAUUAUCGGGAAACCAGACGAUAUUUCUCAGUUUCUAAACGAAUUCAUAUUUCUCAUUCUCUGUAGGCCAUCAGUAGCCUAGAAGAAAAUAAUCGUGUUAAGGUUAAUUAAGUCACACGUACUUUGGAUACAUAUUUUACUUGACAAACGUGGUGUUUUCAUUCACCAUAUUUUGAUCAUGUAGGGUCUCAAUGUAAUUGACACAAUUACGGGCCAUUACAGAUUCGUCUCUAGGAUGUAAAAUCUUUGCAGACCUUGGGAGUAAUGAGGGGCCACUCCGGGAGCGUUAAGUCUCCAUGUUCUCAUCUUCUAGUGCAGGUUUUCGUAUGAGAGUCAAGGCACGGUAGUGUAGCUCAAUGGGGCUUGCGGAGUUCAACAUUCACCUCUGCAAAUAGAAGCAUUUCCAGAAUCUACAUGUAUAAUGGAGCAUUUCCAGAGCGCGGUGACAUGUCAAGUUUCUCAGGCCAUGUCCUAGGACCCUUCUACGUCAAGGCCUGACGGUUCCCAUAAUCUUAGUGGCUCUUCAGACAGCAACGUGUACGUAUGGCAGAUGUUCAAGUUAUGAAAUCGUUACGAGCUCUGAUGACUGCAUGGUAUGUGUUUGGAGCUGUAAGUGUAUCAGUUUACAAGCCAAAAAUUGCCGCCGCUUAUCUGCCAUGGUUGCCAUCGUAUCUCUGUUGAACCAAUAUUUCCCUCUUGAAAUCACUUAAACGUCAUCCAAGAGACUCCUGAUCCUAAGCAGCUGGAGUCCCCAUCAAGCACUCCUACUUCUGUCAUUGAGUGGGACCCAAACUCGACUAGUGGAACACCUUCUAAGUUCAAAAUAUUUGCAAAGCCUUAAGCCCUAUUUUUGAUGGAAGGCAGCUCCCUUGAUGCACUAUCCAGGAUUACUUUCUUCAUAUGCAGAGGUGCAUCUACUCAUGUACAGCAUAGACUAGUCAGGAAUGGCACUUUUGAUGGUGUUGAACAUGUAUGCCUUGUGCUUCACCAAUCCUUUAUGCAGGUUAUGUAUUGAUGUUUGAUGCCUAUUAUGAACCCAUUUGAUAAAAAAAGAUUUGGAAAUUAUAGGCAGUUACUCAAAGCCAUCUCAGUAAUCUAUUUUCUUGUGUAUUAAACUAUUUCUCAGAUCAGGAACUGCAAGUAUUGUUUGUUGCCUGAUACAGGGAAUGCAGUGAUUGUCAUUCUGGUAUACAACAGAAUACUUAAUUGGGACUAUCUCUUCAUUUUUUU